GACGAACGCUGGCGGCGUGCUUAACACAUGCAAGUCGAACGAAGUGGCGAACGGGUGAGUAACGCGUAAUCAACCUGCCCUUCAGAGGGGGACAACAGUUGGAAACGACUGCUAAUCCCGCAUACUGAAGGAGGGGAUUGCGUGUGAUUAGCUAGUUGGAGGGGUAACGGCCCACCAAGGCGAUGAUCAGUAGCCGGGCUGUGGGGGUGAACUGCCACAUUGGGACUGGGACACGGCCCAGGCUCCUACGGGAGGCAGCAGUGGGGAAUCUUCCGAAAUGGAGGAAAGUCUGACGGAGCAACGCCGCGUGAGUGAUGACGGCCUUCGGGUUGUAAAGCUCUGUUAAUCGGGACGCGGUACCGGAAUAGAAAGCAACGGCUAACUACGUGCCAGCAGCCGCGGUAAUAC
rnacentral:rRNA from 1 species